rnacentral:rRNA from 1 species
UACGGGGGGGGCAAGCGUUGUUCGGAAUUACUGGGCGUAAAGGGCUCGUAGGCGGCCAACUAAGUCGGACGUGAAAUCCCUCGGCUUAACCGGGGAACUGCGUCUGAUACUGGAUGGCUUGAAUCCGGGAGAGGGAUGCGGAAUUCCAGGUGUAGCGGUGAAAUGCGCAGAUAUCAGGAGGAACACCGGUGGCGAAGGCGGUUCUCUGGGAAUAUCCUGACGCUGAGGAGCGAAAGUGUGGGGAGCGAACAGG